rnacentral:pre_miRNA from 1 species
AAUGAGACUGAUGGAUCAUAUGGAAAAGCUAUAUUACUUUUGUAAGAAACUGUGAAACUGUCUUAUAAAGUGGCUGUACCAUUUUGCAUUUCUGCUAGCAAU